rnacentral:rRNA from 1 species
GUUGGUUUUUACGAAUUUUAGGUAAAAUUAAAAUUUAUAUUUAAAGGUUUUUUAUGUCAUUAAGAUUUUUGAAGGCGAAUUAGAUUAGUACCUAAUUAGUGAAAAAUUAAAUGUUCAGGAGUAAAGUGGUAUUUAAACUGAAAGAAUAUUGGCAGAUUUUCUAAAUUAUCUUUGGAGGUUGAGUGAUAAUUGAGAACCCUCAUUAACUACUGGUUUUUUGGCUUAUGUAUGAUCGUUUAUUUUAAGCUUAAGGUUUAGGAUUUUAGGUUGACUGUAAAAAUAGAUAUAUAUUUAGUUUAUGAUUAAGUUAAUUUGACCUACAAUAUUUUGAAUUGUGUGGAUUAUUAAGUUAGUAUUAGUAUGAAAUUGUAAAAGACAGUAAGAAAGUUUUUAUAUCUUUUUGAAGAGUAUUUAGAAAUGG